rnacentral:rRNA from 1 species
UACGGGGGGCGCAAGCGUUGUUCGGAUUUACUGGGCGUAAAGGGCGCGUAGGCGGUCAGCACAAGUCAGUUGUGAAAUCUCCGGGCUUAACUCGGAAAGGUCAACUGAUACUGUGCGACUAGAGUGCGGAAGGGGCAACUGGAAUUCUUGGUGUAGCGGUGAAAUGCGUAGAUAUCAAGAGGAACACCUGCGGCGAAGGCGGGUUGCUGGGCCGACACUGACGCUGAAGCGCGAAAGCCAGGGGAGCGAACGGG